rnacentral:rRNA from 1 species
GUGGGGAAUAUUGGACAAUGGGCGAAAGCCUGAUCCAGCAAUGCCGCGUGCAGGAAGAAGGCCUUCGGGUUGUAAACUGCUUUUGUACGGAACGAAACGGUCCGGGUUAAUACCCUGGGCUAAUGACGGUACCGUAAGAAUAAGCACCGGCUAACUACGUGCCAGCAGCCGCGGUAAUACGUAGGGUGCGAGCGUUAAUCGGAAUUACUGGGCGUAAAGCGUGCGCAGGCGGUGCUGUAAGACAGGCGUGAAAUCCCCGGGCUCAACCUGGGAAUUGCGCUUGUGACUGCAGUGCUGGAGUGCGGCAGAGGGGGAUGGAAUUCCGCGUGUAGCAGUGAAAUGCGUAGAUAUGCGGAGGAACACCGAUGGCGAAGGCAAUCCCCUGGGCCUGCACUGACGCUCAUGCACGAAAGCGUGGGGAGCAAACAGGAUUAGAAACCCUAGUAGUCC